GUCCCGUUGGUCAAGUGGUUAAGACACCGCCCUUUCACGGCGGUAACAUGGGUUCGAAUCCCGUACGGGACA
rnacentral:tRNA from 2 species